ensembl:lncRNA
UGUGUGUGUGUGUGUGUGUGUGUACCUCAAGUUAAGCCUAAAAACUUAGGGCACAUGGAGACAGUCUAAGAGGCACCGUCUGAGCAAUUCAUUCCUGCUCCCUACAGAUUUCCGGCAUGGAUUGAAGUUCUUCGUCACCAUGACUGAUUUCCACCACAUUGAUCUUAAAGCCUGGCUUCAUACCACGUGUGUCUCUCCACCCCCCCAUGUUAGUGCAGCCAGAUGUUUUCUCUGCAUCUUAGUACAGCCAUAGCAUGCAGAGAUGCAUUAAUGUGUUAGAUUUUGGGAGGACGGCAUGUGUGUGAACAUCAGUGUGUUGUGCUUAUCUUCUGUGCUGUGCAUCAGCCAGGCUUCAGUUGGCACAUGUUGGUUUUGGCAGGGUUCCUGUGUUUAAAGUUGAAAUGUCAACAUGGAGGUCACUUCACCCAAAAGAAGCACACAAAGCAAUGUGAGCUCAGCACUUCCGUGG